GACGAACGCUGGCGGCGUGCCUAAUACAUGCAAGUAGAACGCACAGUUUAUACCGUAGCUUGCUACACCAUAGACUGUGAGUUGCGAACGGGUGAGUAACGCGUAGGUAACCUGCCUGGUAGCGGGGGGUAACUAUUGGAAACGAUAGCUAAUACCGCAUAAUAUUGAUUAUUGCAUGAUAAUUGAUUGAAAGAUGCUAUUGCAUCACUACCAGAUGGACCUGCGUUGUAUUAGCUAGUAGGGGAGGUAACGGCUCACCUAGGCGACGAUACAUAGCCGACCUGAGAGGGUGAUCGGCCACACUGGGACUGAGACACGGCCCAGACUCCUACGGGAGGCAGCAGUAGGGAAUCUUCGGCAAUGGACGAAAGUCUGACCGAGCAACGCCGCGUGAGUGAAGAAGGUUUUCGGAUCGUAAAGCUCUGUUGUAAGAGAAGAACGGGUGUGAGAGUGGAAAGUUCACACUGUGACGGUAUCUUACCAGAAAGGGACGGCUAACUACGUG
rnacentral:rRNA from 1 species